rnacentral:rRNA from 1 species
GAUGAACGCUGGCGGCGUGCCUAAUACAUGCAAGUCGAGCGAACAGACGAGGAGCUUGCUCCUCUGACGUUAGCGGCGGACGGGUGAGUAACACGUGGAUAACCUACCUAUAAGACUGGGAUAACUUCGGGAAACCGGAGCUAAUACCGGAUAAUAUAUUGAACCGCAUGGUUCAAUAGUGAAAGACGGUUUUGCUGUCACUUAUCGAUGGAUCCGCGCCGCAUUAGCUAGUUGGUAAGGUAACGGCUUACCAAGGCGACGAUGCGUAGCCGACCUGAGAGGGUGAUAGGCCACACUGGAACUGAGACACGGUCCAUACUCCUACGGGAGGCAGCAGUAGGGAAUCUGCCGCAAUGGGCGAAAGCCUGACGGAGCAACGCCGCGUGAGUGAUGAAGGUCUUCGGAUCGUAAAACUCUGUUAUGAGGGAAGAACAAAUGUGUAAGUAACUAUGCACGUCUUGACGGUACCUAAUCAGAAAGCAACGGCUAACUACGUG